rnacentral:rRNA from 1 species
GACGUAGGGCGCGAGCGUUGUCCGGAUUUAUUGGGCGUAAAGAGCUCGUAGGCGGCUUGUCGCGUCGUCCGUGAAAACCUGGGGCUCAACCCCAGGCUUGCGGUCGAUACGGGCAGGCUCGAGUUCGGUAGGGGAGACUGGAAUUCCUGGCGUAGCGGUGAAAUGCGCAGAUAUCAGGAGGAACACCGGUGGCGAAGGCGGGUCUCUGGGCCGAUACUGACGCUGAGGAGCGAAAGCGUGGGGAGCGAACAGG